rnacentral:rRNA from 1 species
UGAGUAACCUGCCCUUAACUCUGGGAUAAGCCUGGGAAACUGGGUCUAAUACCGGAUAUGACUCCUCAUCGCAUGGGUGGGGGUGGAAAGCUUUAUUGUGGUUUUGGAUGGACUCGCGGCCUAUCAGCUUGUUGGUGAGGUAAUGGCUCACCAAGGCGACGACUGGUAGCCGGCCUGAGAGGGUGACCGGCCACACUGGGACUGAGACACGGCCCAGACUCCGUACGGGAGCAG